AAAGCAAUGUCUUCACAGCAGGUGGAGGUUUAAAAUGGACUGCUUAAAGUACAAGUCUUCUUUAAAGCAUCACCCUGGGGACUAACCCUUUUACACAUCCGAACUGUGGCAGUAGAAGACCUUGUUCUUUUCCACGUUGACCUGCCAUGCAGAUAUCUGAGAAUCAUGGUAUGAUGGCCUUUCCAGGGACAGUGAAUGAUGACUGGAACAGACACGGGGACUGGGAAUGUCUGCAGGCACCAGGACUUCAGGAGUAAAUUUGGUUUUCUACCUACCCAGGUCUUAAAGUGGCCAGGAAAGUCAGCAUUUUUCUUGGGGACUAAGGGAUCCUAACACUGGUUCCUAGCUGAAGGAUUCAGAAACCCCAAUGAAAUCAUUGAAUCUGGUUAACAGAGACCACUUUAGAGUCUAAAGAAGAUGAACUUUGGAGAUGAACUUGUGGGAUAUAAAUAAGGCAGAAAACAGAAGACGUAAAAGUUCUGCAAUAUUUGGAUAUGCAAAGGGCCUGAAGUUCAGAGUCAGAGCUGAAUCUGGAUACAGGAAGAUGAAGCUGAAUCAGUGUUUUUUUCCACCCUUAAUUCAAUUCAGCUUAGCAGGAUCUGGAUGAAGGAGGAAAUCAGGAAGCAAAGGAACUCAGGAUUUUGUUUUUCACUCUUGUCAGUCAUAUCUGAAAGGCUGACAGUUACCAGGGGCUGUAGCCAGCACUAGGGAGAAUGUGUCAUUACCGGCAAUGUUGGCCAUAGCAACAUGUCUGUCUCGGAACAGAUCCAGCGUGGAUGAACAAACAGAAGAAUGUUUAAGAAGCCCUGUGACUGAAAGAGACCAAAGGUACCACAUGUGAUUCAAAAACUAUCGAGAACAAUUUUCAGCAUGCUGAUUCAACUUGUCAGAGCCGGAAGUCCCUUGGCAGACAUGAGAACUAUCUCACCUUCAGAUGCAAAUUCUAGAGUGGGAUGACAUAUUCCAUGGUUAUCUCUGGAACAGUAAGGAGUACAUGUAGGUACUCCAAGAAUGCAUGGGAUAAAAUUGAUGCAACCCGGCCUAUCUCAUGAAUGAAUGGGAAGAAAUUAAAAGCAAAGCCGUUCCCGCUUUAAAAAUGAGAUGCUGGGGCAUUGGAAUGAGAAGAGUUCAGUUGCACGGUUGGAGGAUCAGAGAAAGAGAGAAGGAAAGAGAGAACUAGGAAAAGUACCGUCAUCUAAUGAGAAGACAGGCGUGUGAGGAGUCCGAUUUAGGAAGCCCAGAGCCCAGGGAGAUGAAAAACCAUACCUCAGGGGUAGGCAGGCUCCUCCAGGAAGAGGCCCAAGGACAUUUUUGUGGUAGUUAAAUUGCUUCCUGCAGAAUCUCUGUAACUGUUGGGCAUCUGAGACUUGCCUCCUGGGUGUCCCUAUCUGGGUGGUAGAGCUGUGAUUGUACGUGAAGGAGAAAACAUGAAACGCCCCAUCUAUGCAGAGGAACGCGGUGUACCACCUCCCAGAGAAGAAGCCGGGCUGCUGGACUCUCAGCUGCAUUCCUGAGCUCUUCUAAGGAUGUGGUAAACAAACUCUCAGGAUCCAGAGAUUCCUGAUGUGAAGCACUUUUGACGUCUUAGUUGCUCUCUUGGCACUGCACUGUACUUCGCAAGAAAAUAAUUAUUUUGACGAUUCUAUUGACUGGUCUAGCCACCAAGCGGACCAGCUGUUUUCUUCUCUGCCUUCUAAAACUGUUCCAACAAAAUACAAAACCUUAACUAAUCAAAUUUCCAAAAUGAUGGAAAACCAAAUACCAAGGUUUAUGCGAGGAA